GACGAACGCUGGCGGCGUGCCUAAUACAUGCAAGUAGAACGCUGAAGGAGGAGCUUGCUUCUCUGGAUGAGUUGCGAACGGGUGAGUAACGCGUAGGUAACCUGCCUGGUAGCGGGGGAUAACUAUUGGAAACGAUAGCUAAUACCGCAUAAGAGUAGAUGUUGCAUGACAUUUGCUUAAAAGGUGCAAUUGCAUCACUACCAGAUGGACCUGCGUUGUAUUAGCUAGUUGGUGGGGUAACGGCUCACCAAGGCGACGAUACAUAGCCGACCUGAGAGGGUGAUCGGCCACACUGGGACUGGGACACGGCCCAGACUCCUACGGGAGGCAGCAGUAGGGAAUCUUCGGCAAUGGACGGAAGUCUGACCGAGCAACGCCGCGUGAGUGAAGAAGGUUUUCGGAUCGUAAAGCUCUGUUGUAAGAGAAGAACGAGUGUGAGAGUGGAAAGUUCACACUGUGGCGGUAUCUUACCAGAAAGGGACGGCUAACUACGUG
rnacentral:rRNA from 1 species